rnacentral:rRNA from 1 species
CCCUUAGAUGUUCGGGGCCGCACGCGCGCUACACUGAAGGACUCAGCGUGUCUCUCCCCCUAUCCCGAAAGGGAUGGGCAACCCGUUGAACCUCCUUCGUGCUAGGGAUUGGGAUUUGCAAUUAUCCCCCAUGAACGAGGAAUUCCCAGUAAGCGCGAGUCAUCAGCUCGCGUUGAUUACGUCCCUGCCCUUUGUACACACCGCCCGUCGCUACUACCGAUUGGAUGGUUUAGUGAGACCCUCGGAUCGGUCCCGACUCGGGGUGGGCUUCUGCCCCGGUCGUGGUUUCGCCGAGAAGACGGUCAAACUUGACUAUCUAGAGGAAGUAAAAGUCGUAACA